rnacentral:rRNA from 1 species
AACGAACGCUGGCGGCAGGCCUAACACACGCAAGUCGAACGCACGUAGCAAUACGGGAGUGGCAGACGGGUGAGUAACGCGUGGGAACGUACCCUUUGGUUCGGAACAACUCCGGGAAACUGGAGCUAAUACCGGAUGAGCCCUACGGGGGAAAGAUUUAUCGCCGAAGGGUCGGCCCGCGUCGGAUUAGCUAGUUGGUGAGGUAACGGCUCACCAAGGCGACGAUCCGUAGCUGGUCUGAGAGGAUGAUCAGCCACACUGGGACUGAGACACGGCCCAGACUCCUACGGGAGGCAGCAGUGGGGAAUAUUGGACAAUGGGCGCAAGCCUGAUCCAGCCAUGCCGCGUGAGUGAUGAAGGCCUUAGGGUUGUAAAGCUCUUUCGCCAGGGACGAUAAUGACGGUACCUGGAUAAGAAGCCCCGGCUAACUUCGUGCCAGCCGCCGCAGUAA